GUUUAUGAAUUUGUAGGAAUUUAUGGCGGUGGAAUUGCGUCAGUUGGGCCCACGAGGAGGUCACAAGCCUGCGCGCCACCACCGGGGGGGGUAGCGGCGUGGGGGCUUGUGAAUCCCUCGUGGCCCAUCUGGCCUUCUCCCAAAGCUUCGGGGGUCUCUUUUGGUCCAAAAAAAUCAUCGUAAAGUUUCAUUCCAUUUGGACUUCGUCUGAAAAUGGGCCAAAAACAAGGAAAAAACA
rnacentral:lncRNA from 1 species